rnacentral:rRNA from 1 species
AUUGAACGCUGGCGGCAGGCCUAACACAUGCAAGUCGAGCGAGCGGCGGACGGGUGAGUAAUGCCUGGGAAUUGCCCAGUCGAGGGGGAUCACAGUUGGAAACGACUGCUACUACCGCAUACGAUUGGAUUGCCCAGGUGGGAUUAGCUAUUUGGUGAGGUAAUGGCCCACCAAGGCGACGAUCCCUAGCUGGUCUGAGAGGAUGAUCAGCCACACUGGAACUGAGACGCGGUACAGACUCCUACGGGAGGCAGCAGUGGGGAAUAUUGCACAAUGGGGGAAACCCUGAUGCAUCCGUGCCGCGUGUGUGAAGAAGGCCAUCGGGUUGUGAGGCACUUACAGCGAUGAGGCGUUACUCGCAGAAGAAGCACCGGCUAACUCCGUGCCAGCAGCCGCGGUAAUUC